rnacentral:rRNA from 1 species
GACGAACGCUGGCGGCGUGCUUAACACAUGCAAGUCGAACGGAAAGGCCCUGCUUUUGUGGGGUGCUCGAUUGGCGAACGGGUGAGUAACACGUGAGUAACCUGCCCUUGUCUUUGGGAUAACUUCAGGAAACUCGGGCUCAUACCCGAUAGGAGCUCCUGCUGCAUAGUGGGGGUUGGAAAGUUUCGGCGGUUGUGGAUGGACUCGCGGCUUAUCAGCUUGUUGGUGGGGUAGUGGCUGACCAAGGCUUUGACGGGUAGCCGGCCUGAGAGGGUGACCGGCCACAUUGGGACUGAGAUACGGCCCAGAAUCCUACGGGAGGCAGCAGUGGAGAAUAUUGCACAAUGGGCGGAAGCCUGAUGCAGCAACGCUGCGUGCGGGAUGACGGCCUUCGGGUUGUAAACAGCUUUGGCAUGAGACGAAGCGGGAGUGACGGUAAUGGGUAAAGAAGCACCGGCUAACUACGUG